rnacentral:rRNA from 1 species
AACGGCUUACCAAGGCGACGAUCAGUAGCCGACCUGAGAGGGUGACCGGCCACAUUGGGACUGAGACACGGCCCAAACUCCUACGGGAGGCAGCAGUGGGGAAUAUUGCACAAUGGGGGAAACCCUGAUGCAGCGACGCCGCGUGAGCGAAGAAGUAUUUCGGUAUGUAAAGCUCUAUCAGCAGGGAAGAAACUGACGGUACCUGACUAAGAAGCACCGGCUAAAUAC